GAAAUGCGAUAGGUAGUGUGAAUUGCAGAAUUCAGUGAAUCAUCGAAUUCUUGAACGCAUAUUGCGGUCUUUGGUAUUCCAAAGACCAUGGCUGUUUGAGUGGGGACCCAUUAUUCUUUGUCACCUUCUUUGACAAGAGAUGAUCAUUGAAACCGAGAGAUUGGUUUGUGAUUGAAAGAACGACAGAAACCUUUUCAGUGUUGAUGUCUGUCUCUUUCUUACUUUUGAGCUUCAAACGAUGUUCAAAACUGAGAGAGUGGAACAACCAAGAGAGAAGGAACUGAAGAAACAACCAAAAAAGAGAAUCCCCCUCAAAUCAUCCAAGAAGACCCGCUGAAUUUAA
rnacentral:misc_RNA from 1 species